ensembl:lncRNA
UUCCAGGUCCCUUUCCCCAGAACAACCCAGGCUCUGGAGUAGGGGAGGGUACAGGAUGGGUGGAGCUCACGUAGGAAGCAGCUGAGGACAUCCUUGUCUCCACUGCCUCCCAACCCAGGACCUGAGUGCACAACUGAAGGGAGGAGAGGAGUCUGCAGGAGGAGGGAUGGGAGGGGAGUCGAGGUCCAAAAUCGGCUUCCGCCAGGGGAUGACAAAGACACGAAUUUCAAAUUCCCUCUUUGCUUCCUCAAGAAUACAUUGGAGAGGAAAAAAAUUCCCUGGUGGUCCAGGGUAACAAUUCUGUUUUUGCAUUGUACAGGACCUAGGUUACCUCUCUGGUUUGGGAAAUAAGAUGACAAGGCCAAGAAAAGAAAGAAUAAAGUGGGGGAAACACAACUUACUACUUAGAAUGAAUGUGAAAAGGAAAACUGAGGGGAAGGGGCCUUUAGACACCCUUUUAUCUAGCCAGGGGCCCAUUCAGAGGCAGCUCAUCCAAAACCAAGUCCCAGAGCCCAGGCCUGGGCAGAAAAGGAGCAGAUGCUGCCCCCUGGUGGGUGAGUCUGUCAGUGCCUAAACCUGAAGCAAAGUGGAGUGAGUUAACAGUUUCCUUUCUCUCCUUCUGGGGUUUUUUGUUCGUUUCUUUUUCUGGCCAUGCCACGCGGCUUGUGGGAUCUUAGAUCCUGUACUGGGUAUUGAACCCUUGCCUUUUGCAGUGAAGGCAUGGAGUCAUAACCACUGAAGUGCCAGGGAAUUCCUCUGGAGUCUUCCUUUCAGACAGGACCUUCACUAGGUUGGGAAUGGAAAAGCCACCCUUUACAAGUUGUUUUUGUGGAGGUAAGAUGAGAUGUAAAUGAACAUUUUGUGAGCAGGAAAUCUGAUUUCAGUGACAUUUCUUAUGCUUUUCCUGAGGGCCUAAUAGCUGGUGCCGGGAAGGCAGAGGCGGGAGGACGCAGGAGGGCGGAGAAGGUUGUGAAGAGGCAGUUGCAGCAGGUUGUGGUGUCUUAGGAGACAGAUCCACUCGGGGACAGAUUCCAGCAUCCAUCUGCACAGGAGACUGGCACUUGGGGAGACCUUGGCCUCAGAAGGGGCCUUGGGUGAUCAGGAAGGAACAACAGCCAGAGCCCCAAGAGGGUGACAGUGCCAUGGGAGCAACAGCCUGCAGCUGUGAGGGGGGCAGAGCAAGCCCACCAGAGAGACAGGGUGGUGAGUUGAGGGGAAAGAGCCAGGCUCACACUGUGCAGGGAACUUGCUGCCGGCCAGUUUUCUGAGCUGAGGGACUCUUUAGAGCUUACGCUGCUGCUGCUGUUGCUAAGUCACUUCAAUCGUGUCCAACUCUGUUCGACCCCAUAGAUGGCAGCCCACCAGGCUCCUCUCUCCCUGGGAUUCUCCAGGCAAGAACACUGGAGUGGGUUGCCAUUUCCUUCUCCAAUGCAUGCUAAAUUGCUUCAGUCGUGUCCGACUCUGUGCAAUCUAUAGAGAGCAGCCCACCAGGCUCCUCUGUCCCUGGGAUUCUCUAGGCAAGAAUACUGGAGUGAGCUUACACAACAGGGGCCAAUCCCCAGAGACCUUACAUGUUUGAUUCAGCUUUUUAAAAAUGUAUUUACUUUCUGGCUAUUUCGGGUCUUAGUUGUGACACACAGGCUCCAGAACACUCAGACUUAGUUGCCGCGAUGCAACUGGGGGAAUCUUAGUUCUGCACCAGGAAUCACACCGUGUCCCCUGCACGGGGAGGCACAUACUUAACCACUGGACCACCGGGAAGUCCCUGAUUCAGCGUCUUGGUUUCAUAGACUUCUGUCAAGGCACCCGUGUUGUUUGGCCCACACGAAUGGCUGCAUGCUCAAAUUUGGGAGCUUGUCAGGAUCAUCUGGAGGACUUGAUAAACACAGAUAAAACACAGAUAAACACUGGGGCCUUCUUUCAAAAUUUCUGAUUCAGAAAUUUGAAGACUUUGUCAGACCCAGCCUAAGCACAGUAUACAUUGUCUCAUUGGACCCUCAUCCAGUCAUUCAACACACAUUCAUCAAGAGUCAAGUUCAUUCAGAGCACUAGGUGCUCGGAAUAGACCAGCAAACAAAAGGUUUCCCAUCAAGGUGAAAGAACAGCACUAAUGGCUGUAUAUUUGUGACUAUACCUACAUUCUAUGUGUCUGUGUCCAUAUCUACACAUGUAUCUAUGCCACAUGAGCAUCAUGGGUGUCAAAGCCACUUGGCAGCCAACAGAAAUACAAGACCAGGGAGAGCGGGAUGUGAAACAGGAGGCUCAGGGUGAGUAGGUGUAGAUAGUUUGCAAGACUUCAAAUGGAAUCAUUUCUAUUUUACAGGCAAGAAGUGACUUUCCCCAGGAUAUACUCAUUAAGACAUUCUGAUGUGCUGCAUUUCCUCGUGUAGCUUCACAAGUACCCUCAUCAGAGAGGCAUUCUUAUCAUCCUCAAUUAAAAUAUCAGGACCCCCAGUUUAUAAAACCUGAAGCCCCAGUGGUUAGCAGGAUGCUUGAAUGCAAAUCCCUACUUCUUUUCACAUUAGGCAAGAUGCUUAGCCUCUCAGCACUUCCAUCUGUAACAGUGCUUUCAAGAAAUAUGUGAGGCACACACAUAACCAAACUGUUGUUUUUUUUUUUUUUUUUUAAUUUGCCCAUGCUGUGUGGCUUUUGGGAUCCCAGUUCUCCAACUAAGCAUGGAACCUGGACUCCCACAGUGAAAGCGCUGAGGCCUAACCACUGAACCACCAGGGAAUUCCCUCCUGCAAGUAAAAGCAAAUAUUGUUAGGCAUAUUAAAAAAAGAGAAGUGAGUGAAAUUAAGUUUAAUACAUUCUUUAACUCAAGAUAUCUCAGAAAUUCUCUGGUGGUCAGUGGUUAGAGCUCCAUGUUUUCAAUGACAAGGCAGGGAGGGUUCCAUCCCAUCCCUUCUCAGGGUUCUUGCAAACCCUGGGGAACACCCCUCCCCAUAGACACACCCACAAAAAAACAGAUAUCUAAAAUAUUUCAAUAUGUAAUUAAUAUCAACAUUAUAGAGAUAAUGUUAGAAUUUCUAAUACUAAAUCUUUGAAAUCCCAGUGUUUUCCACUUGAAAUUGGAAACCUUUGAAUUCUCUGGUACCUCUGGAUUCAGUGGUACCUCUGAAUUCGGAGGAACCACCUGCCCAGCGUUCCCUGGCUGCAUGUGGCUAGUGGCUGUGACAGCUCAGAUCAACAGAAUGUUUCUUCUUGUUUUUGGUCUGUAAGUAGUGUCCGACUCUUUGAGACCCUGUGACCCGCCAGGAUCCUCUGUCCGUCCACUCGAUUUCCUAGGCAAAAACACCGGAGUGGGUUGCAAUUUCCUCUUCUAGGGGAUCUUUCCGACUCAGGAAUCGAACCCAUGUUUCCUGUAUUGCCGACGGAUUCUUUACAAUCUGAGCCACCAGCGAGGCCCACAACUGAGGAGGAGGGGCAGGAAAACGAGGUCCUUGGCGGAGAGAGCUUUCGGUAGGAAGCCCAGGAUCGGUUUGGUUCGUAGAAGCACCGAAGGACUAGAGCGCUGCAGUUGGAGUGAACCCCUCCCGCGGCCCGGCCCCGCCUCCGCAUCCACACGCCCCCUCCCUUCCCCACUGUGGGCCAUCCGCCUUCCGCCUGGCAGCGAAGCCCCUCCACACACGCGACCCUACGGAGCCCCUCUCUCCGCAGGCGGAGGCCUGUGUAACACACUGCAGUCCGGGCGUUUCUAGUGAGUGAGUCUUGCGACCUUGUCUUCAGGAAAACUCUCGGCCAACAGCUCGUCGCACGGGUCUCUCUCGCCCGCCACCCCGCACCCCCUCCAGUCGGGUCUCUCCUCUCCACUAGCACCAAGGAGGAGCUCCCCUGCCGCCGCCCCGAGGCUGUCCCCAGGGCGCUGCGGUCCCGCCGGAGCCACGCCUUCUUGGCGACAGAGGGCGGGGCAUGCAGAUUCGAGACGGCUCUUCCGCCCGAGAACCACAAAGCCGCGGCAGAUGCGGGAUUUCUCUUUUACAAUGUGGAGAAUCCAAUUUCUGCCCGAGAGUCUGGUGUAGUGCCGCCAUAGCACUGUCAACGAAGCAAAGGAAGGGAGACCUGGAGUGAGGGGGGACCCGGUCACACUGAGUGCAACGUGCACGACAGCAGGACGGUGACGGCGACGGGCGGUGACACGCUAUCGCUUCUCGGCCUUUUGGCUAAGAUCAAGUGUAGUAUCUGUUCUUAUCAGUUUAAUAUCUGAUACGUCCUCUAUCCGAGGACAAUAUAUUAAAUGGAUUUUUGGAGCAGGGAGUUGGAAUAGGAGCUUGCUCCGUCCACUCCACGCAUCGACCUGGUAUUGCAGUACUUCCAGGAAUGGUGCACCCCCUCAGGGGAUAUCAUUGGAGUACCUAAAAGCAGAAAUUGGUUUUGUUCAGGAUUGAGCCACCUGAAGAAGUUUAUUUUUUGUGCUUUCCUGUCAGUGCUUUCAAUUCUGACAAUUACAGAACAACUGGAACGUUUCUCCCUUUCUGUCUCUGAUAAAGUGUGUGUAACUGUGAAAUUUGCUCAAACUGUGGGUUUUUUGAAAGACUACCUUUUGCCCAGCAGUCUUGAAAAGAAAUUUCCCAGAUUUUUGCCUAGCCCAAGCUACAAAAAGAAGGGGUGGCCAAGCUCUCACUUAAUAUUCCCAGUUUCUCUUCCGAAGCACUGGCUUGGCUUUUCUGUCUUUGGAUGUCUUCAACACUAAUCAAAUGUUUGUGUUUUCUGAUUUCAGGCAGUUUCUGUGGAGAGCCACUAAGAUCCACCUGGAAUCUAGAUUAAUAUGAUGGGCUUUAAAGUCAGUGUGUGUUGGUUGUACUGGGAUUUCAUUUAUACAGGUGCCUGACUGACAAGGAGAGGUCAGUGCCACUGAAGAAGUUGUAUUAUUACUUAGAAGAAAAGAGAGCCUAAAAUAAGACCGCCGUGUCUUCUGGAUACACAAGGCAGGCUGUUCAGGUCAGCAUAAGUUCAAAUCAUGUUUAAGCCAGAGCAACUUCCCCAUAUUAUCUCCUUUUGUCCUUUUCCAUUGACUCGGGCAUUCAAUCAAGAUCUAGGUGCUGGGUGCCUGUCUGAGUGCACCGGACUGUGUAGUGGGAAAAGCAACUGCUGUGGGAAUUGCAAAAGACCAUGAUGCUGUGAAAAGAUUGAAGGCAGGAGGA